rnacentral:sRNA from 1 species
GGGGCUUCAGGAAGGAGCACUGGGCCGGGCCUGAGUGGGCGCUACCAGCUCCCCUCCUUCCCUCUGUUCCACAGGAGGCCUCUCUGCGCUUCACUCUGCCGGGCUCCGGCACUGAGGGGCCCGCCAAGCAAGAGAACUUCAUUCUAGGCAGCUGUGGCACAGACCAGGUGAAGGGUGUGCUGACUCUGCAGGGGGAUGCCCUCAGCCAGGCGGAUGUGAACCUGAAGAUGCCCCGGAACAACCAGCUGCUGCACUUCACCUUCCGGGAGGACAAGCAGUGGAAGCUGCAGCAGAUCCAGGAUGCCAGAAACCAUGUGAGCCAAGCCAUUUACCUGCUUAUCAGCCGGGACGAGAGCUACCAGUUCAAGACAGGCGCUGAGGUCCUCAAGCUGAUGGACGCAGUGAUGCUGCAGCUGACCAGAGCCCGAAACCGGCUCACCACCCCCGCCACCCUCACCCUCCCCGAGAUCGCCGCCAGCGGCCUCACGCGGAUGUUCGCCCCCGCCCUGCCUUCCGACCUGCUGGUCAACGUCUACAUCAACCUCAACAAGCUCUGCCUCACAGUGUACCAGCUGCAUGCCCUGCAGCCCAACUCCACCAAGAACUUCCGCCCAGCCGGGGGCGCGGUGCUGCAUAGCCCUGGAGCCAUGUUCGAGUGGGGCUCUCAGCGGCUGGAGGUGAGCCACGUGCACAAAGUGGAGUGCGUGAUCCCC